rnacentral:rRNA from 1 species
GACGAACGCUGGCGGCGUGCCUAAUACAUGCAAGUCGAACGGUCUUUUCUAUGGAAGCUUGCUUCCACUGGGAAGAUAGUGGCGGACGGGUGAGUAACGCGUGAGGAGCUGUCCUAUGCAGGGGGACAACAGUUGGAAACGGCUGCUAAUACCCCAUAAGCCGAGAGGUAAAAGGAUCAAUCCGGCAAAGGAGCACUCGCGUCCUAUCAGCUAGUAGGUUGGUAACGGCCGACCUAGGCGAAGACGGUAGCCGGCCUGAGAGGGCGAACGGCCACACUGGAACUGAGAUACGGUCCAGACU